rnacentral:rRNA from 1 species
GCCAGCAGCCAGAUCACUCUGCAACUCACAACUGGCAACCCACUAAGCUCAGAAGCUCAGCAGGUGUGAGCCUGGUCAGUACCUGGAUGGAGACCUCCUGGGAAAAACAGGUUUCUGCUGGAA